rnacentral:tRNA from 1 species
GCGGAAGUGGCGAAAUUGGUAGACGCACCAGAUUUAGGUUCUGGCGCCGCGAGGCGUAAGAGUUCAAGUCUCUUCUU